UGUUUAGCUGUGUGCAGUGGUAUGGAG
rnacentral:sRNA from 1 species